GAUUGAACGCUGGCGGCAUGCCUUACACAUGCAAGUCGAACGGUAACGCGGGGCAACCUGGCGACGAGUGGCGAACGGGUGAGUAAUAUAUCGGAACGUGCCCAGUUGUGGGGGAUAACUGCUCGAAAGAGCAGCUAAUACCGCAUACGACCUGAGGGUGAAAGCGGGGGAUCGCAAGACCUCGCGCAAUUGGAGCGGCCGAUAUCAGAUUAGGUAGUUGGUGGGGUAAAGGCCUACCAAGCCGACGAUCUGUAGCUGGUCUGAGAGGACGACCAGCCACACUGGGACUGAGACACGGCCCAGACUCCUACGGGAGGCAGCAGUGGGGAAUUUUGGACAAUGGGGGCAACCCUGAUCCAGCCAUGCCGCGUGCGGGAAGAAGGCCUUCGGGUUGUAAACCGCUUUUGUCAGGGAAGAAAAGACUCCUACUAAUACUGGGGGUUCAUGACGGUACC
rnacentral:rRNA from 1 species